GACGAACGCUGGCGGCGUGCCUAAUACAUGCAAGUUGAGCGCUGAAGGUUGGUACUUGUACCAACUGGAUGAGCAGCGAACGGGUGAGUAACGCGUGGGGAAUCUGCCUUUGAGCGGGGGACAACAUUUGGAAACGAAUGCUAAUACCGCAUAAAAACUUUAAACACAAGUUUUAAGUUUGAAAGAUGCAAUUGCAUCACUCAAAGAUGAUCCCGCGUUGUAUUAGCUAGUUGGUGAGGUAAAGGCUCACCAAGGCGAUGAUACAUAGCCGACCUGAGAGGGUGAGCGGCAACAGGAAGACUGAGACACAGCCCAAACUACGACGGGGGGCAGCAGUAGGGAGCCGACGAGAAUGGACGAAAGUGGGACCGAGCAACGCCGCGUGAGUGAAGAAAGAAUGCGGAUCGUAAAGCUCGGAUGGUAGAGAAGAGCGGGGGGGAGAGUAGAAAGCUCAUCAAAUGACGGGAACUAGCCGGAGGGGGAAGGCGAACUACGUG
rnacentral:rRNA from 1 species